GAUCAUGGCUCAGGAUGAACGCUAGCGGCAGGCUUAAUACAUGCAAGUCGUGGGGCAGCAGGUUUGUAGCAAUACAGAUGCUGGCGACCGGCAAACGGGUGCGGAACACGUACAGAACCUUCCCUUUUGAGCGGGGAAUAGCCCAGAGAAAUUUGGAUUAAUACCCAUAGUAUAAUGAAGUGGCAUCACUUUAUUAUUAAAGAUUUAUCACUCGAAGAUGGCUGUGCGGCUGAUUAGGUAGUUGGCGGGGUAAAGGCCCACCAAGCCUGCGAUCAGUAACUGGUGUGAGAGCACGACCAGUCACACGGGCACUGAGACACGGGCCCGACUCCUACGGGAGGCAGCAGUAAGGAAUAUUGGUCAAUGGAGGCAACUCUGAACCAGCCAUGCCGCGUGGAGGAUGAAGGUCCUCUGGAUUGUAAACUUCUUUAUAUGGGACGAAAAAGGCUUUCUAAGUCGUCUGACGGUACCAUAUGAAUAAGCACCGGCUAACUCCGUG
rnacentral:rRNA from 1 species